CCUACGGGAGGCAUCAGUAAGGAAUAUUGGACAAUGGUCGCAAGACUGAUCCAGCCAUGCCGCGUGUAGGAUGACAGCCCUAUGGGUCGUAAACUGCUUUUGUGCGAGAAAAAACCCCUCUACGUGUAGAGGGCUGAUUGUAUCGUAAGAAUAAGGAUCGGCUAACUCCGUGCCAGCAGCCGCGGUAAUACGGAGGAUCCAAGCGUUAUCCGGAUUCAUUGGGUUUAAAGGGUGCGUAGGCGGAAUGAUAAGUCAGUGGUGAAAUCCUGCAGCUUAACUGCAGAACUGCCAUUGAUACUGUCAAUCUUGAGUACAUUUGAUGUGGGCGGAAUGUGUCAUGUAGCGGUGAAAUGCUUAGAUAUGACACAGAACACCGAUUGCGAAGGCAGCUCACAAAACUGUAAACUGACGCUGAGGCACGAAAGCGUGGGUAUCAAACAGGAUUAGAUACCCUGGUAGUCCACGCUGUAACUAAUAGUAUUACUACGUAUGUUUGUCGAGUACACUAGUAAGACGUCGUAAGUACGAAAGACGAGUAAGUUAAAGUUACCUACCGUUCGGGAGGUUACGGCGUUCGCGAGAGAGAAACGUUAAAAGGUUAAAGUUAGGUUACGGACGUUGAGGAGAGGACGACGGACGACGACGAACGGGAAGGUUAAGGAAG
rnacentral:rRNA from 1 species